rnacentral:rRNA from 1 species
ACUGCUCAGUAACACGUGGACAACCUACCCUAAGGAGGGGGAUAACCCCGGGAAACUGGGGAUAAUACCCCAUAGACUAGAGAAGCUGGAAUGCUCUCAAGUCCAAAGGUCCGCCGCCUUAGGAUGGGUCUGCGGUCGAUUAGGUUGUUGUUGGGGUAACGGCCCAACAAGCCCGUGAUCGAUACGGGUUGUGAGAGCAAGAGCCCGGAGAUGGAUUCUGAGACACGAAUCCAGGCCCUACGGGGCGCAGCAGGCGCGAAAACUUUACAAUGCGGGAAACCGUGAUAAGGGUACCCCGAGUGCCCGUAAAUUCGGGCUGUCCAUCAGCGUAAAUAACUGGUGAAGAAAGGGCCGGGCAAGACCGGUGCCAGCCGCCGCGGUAAUACCGGCGGCUCGAGUGGUGGCCACUAUUAUUGGGCUUAAAGCGUCCGUAGCUUGGUUGUUAAGUCUCUUGGGAAAUCUACCGGCUCAACCGGUAGGCGUUCAGGAGAUACUGGCAAUCUAGGGACCGGGAGAGGUGAGAGGUACUCCAGGGGUAGGAGUGAAAUCCUGUAAUCCUUGGGGGACCACCUGUGGCGAAGGCGUCUCACUAGAACGGCUCCGACAGUGAGGGACGAAAGCUGGGGGAGCAAACCGGAUUAGAUACCCGGGUAGUCCCAGCUGUAAACGAUGCGCGUUAGGUGUAUCGGUGACCACGAGUCACCGAGGUGCCGAAGGGAAACCGUGAAACGUGCCGCCUGGGAAGUACGGUCGCAAGGCUGAAACUUAAAGGAAUUGGCGGGGGAGCAC